AGGAUUCCCUUAGUAGCGGCGAGCGAAGCGGGAAGAGGCCGAGAUGAAAAUCCUUUCGGGGAGUUGUAAUCUGGUUCAUGUUGAGAGUUCAGUGAAUGUAAGUCACAUGGAAUUGUGUACCGUGGAGGGUGAGAGUCCCGUCCAGCAUUCACAGGAAUUUCUCGUACGACAUGGAUUCAACCGAGUCGGGUAGCUUGAGAUCGCUGCUCUAAUAGGUGGUAAACUUCAUCUAAGCCUAAAUACUGGUGGGAGACCGAUAGCGAACAAGUACCGUGAGGGAAAGAUGGAAAGCACUUUGAAAAGAGGGUGAAAAGUACCUGAAACCGCCACGGGGGAAGCGUAUUGUAUCAGUGUGGUGCGGCGUCUGUUCAGCAAACUUCGGUUUGUGUAUUCAGCGCUAGCUGAGUCGGAAUGGCUGUUGGAUUGUGGAUGUUGCACAAUGCCGAUGGUGAGGGCUCCCUUCGGGUGAGGAUUUCGACAAAAUGAUACGAUUCGACCCGUCUUGAAACACGGACCAAGGAGUUUAGCAUUACUGCGAGUCGAAGAGUGACAAACUCAGAGGCGAAGUGAAAGCGAACAUUUGGAGACCUUAACAGGUUGAGGAGGUGUUGCGUCGUUGACAAAACAUCCUACCUAGAGCAGUAAUGCUGAGACCCGAAAGAUGGUGAACUAUGCCGGAGUAGGGCAAAGCCAGAGGAAACUCUGGUGGAGGCUCGUAGCGAUGCUGACGUGCAAAUCGCUCGUCGAACUUGGGUAUAGGGGCGAAAGACUAAUCGAACCAUCUAGUAGCUGGUUCCCUCCGAAGUUUCUCUCAGGAUAGCGGGCCGACAGUGGGUUGUUUUGUGUGGUAAAGCGAAUGAUUAGCGUAUUUGGGGACGUAAUGUCUUCGGUCGAUUCUCAAACUUUAAAUACGCAAGAUAGAGGUGGUUGCUUAAUUGAACCUCUCUACUGAAAACGUCGGCCCUGUGGGCCACUUUUGGUAAGCAGAACUGGCGAUAUGGGAUGAACCAUAAGUUUGGUUAAGGCGUCAAAAUACCCGCUUAUAGAUCCCACAAAAGGUGUUGGUUCAUCUAGACAGCAGGACGGUGGCCAUGAAGUCGAAUCCGACGGUGGCCAUGGAAGUCGGAAUCCGCUAAGGAGUGUGUAACAACUCACCUGCCGAAUGAACUAGCCCUGAAAAUGGAUGACGCUUAAGCGGGUUGCCGACACCAGACCGUUUUGGUAAGAAGCGACCAAAAUGAGUAGGAGGGCGUGGCGGUCUUGUUGAGAAGGAUGAGACGCAAGUCUAUCUGAAACGGCCGCUAGUGCAGAUCUUGGUGGUAGUAGCAAAUAUUCAAGCGAGAUCCUUGAAGGGCGAAGCGGGGAAGGGUUCCACGCGAACAUUGAUUGGGCGUGGGUGAGUCGUUCCUAAGCCGGGUGGUAAUCGUUCUUACGAUCGGCGAAAGGGAAGCGGGUUAAAAUUCUCGCACACGGAUGUGGAGGCGGUGACGCAAAUUGAGGUGGAGACGUUAGCGGUGGCACUGGGCAGAGUUGUCUUUUCUGUUUAACCUGUGAGUGCACUCUGUGGAAUCCGAUUAUCGGGAGAAACAGGUGUUAAUGGGAAGAGCGUCGGGGCGUCCCCGGCGUCCAGUACGCCAGCGAUAGCCCUUGAAAAUCCAUCUGCAAUGAAAUUUCACGCCGUGGCGUACCGAUAACCGCAUCAGGUCCCCAAGGUGAACAGCCUCUGCUCAAUAUGAACAAUGCAGGUAAGGGAAGUCGGCAAAAUAGACCCGUAACUUUGGGAAAAGGGUUGGCUCUAGUGGGGUGGAGGAUUUCAUACUGGAUCAUUGGGAUUUGGUGUUGUUGGUCGGGCGGAGUUAACUGUGGCAACACGGUUUCGGCUCUUCCUGAUCGCUUCGCUGAGUUUGGAUGGUCCGACCUCCAGCAUGCUCCAAACUAGAACUGCAACGGGCAAAGGGAAUCCGACUGUUUAAUUAAAACAAAGCAUUGCGAUGGCCGAGGUCGGUGUAGACGCAAUGUGAUUUCUGCCAAGUGCUCUGAUUGCAACGGGCCAAGGGAAUCCGACUGUUUAAUUAAAACAAAGCAUUGCGAUGGCCGAGGUCGGUGUAGACGCAAUGUGAUUUCUGCUCAGUGCUCUGAAUGUCAAAGUGAAGAGAUUCAAACAAGCGCGGGUAAACAGCGGGAGUAACUAUGACUCUCUUAAGGUAGCCAAAUGCCUCGUCAUCUAAUUAGUGACGCGCAUGAAUGGAUUAACGAGAUUCCUACUGUCCCUAUCUGCUUCUAGCGAAACCACAGCCGAGGGAACGGGCUCGGCGAAAUCGGCGGGGAAAGAAGACCCUGUUGAGCUUGACUCUAUUCUAAUUUUGUGACGCAAGUUAGGAGGUGUAGCAUAGGUGGGAGACUUCGGUCGCCAAUGAAAUACCACUACUCUUAAUCUUGUUUUACUUAUGGCGUUAGACUGCACGAUCUAUAUGGUCUAUUUUAGCAUCAACUUGGAUUAUGGCACAUGCUCCUCCCAUAGAGUAGUGUUACCUUGGAGCAGCGCGCCUGACAUAUUUAGGAGGGGAGUUUGGCUGGGGCGGCACAUCUUCUACAAGACAACGAAGGUGUCCAAAGAUAAGCUCAGUGAGAACAGAAAUCUCACGUAGCGCAAAAGGGUAAAAGCUUGUUUGAUUUCGAUUUUCAGUGUGAGUUGAAAACGCGAAAGCGUGGCCUAUCGAUCCUUUCACAAUUCGAGGUUUGAAGCGAGA
rnacentral:rRNA from 1 species